UACGGGGGGGGCAAGCGUUGUUCGGAAUUACUGGGCGUAAAGGGCUCGUAGGCGGCCAACUAAGUCAGACGUGAAAUCCCCAGGCUCAACCUGGGAACUGCGUCUGAUACUGGAUGGCUUGAAUUCGGGAGAGGGAUGCAGAAUUCCAGGUGUAGCGGUGAAAUGCGUAGAUAUCUGGAGGAACACCGGUGGCGAAGGCGGCAUCCUGGACCGAGAUUGACGCUGAUGCGCGAAAGCCAGGGGAGCAAACGGG
rnacentral:rRNA from 1 species